rnacentral:lncRNA from 1 species
CCUAACUUUAGGUACAUAUCUCUGGUUUCUUAAGUGAUGUCUGUAGGAAUAGAUUUAGGAAAAUAUCACAGCUUUUUAAAGAGUCAUUUUAGAAUGGUGUAUGGUCCAUUUCAUAGUAUAUAUGAGUGUCAUUGGUAGAAACAGCUUUGUGUACAUAUCAUUGGUUUCUUAUGUGUUGUCUGUAGGACAGACUUUAGGUAGAUAUCAAGGCUUUCUUGAGUGUUAUAAGAAGGACAGGCUUUAGGUACAUAUCAUGGCUUUCUUGAGCGUCAUUAAUAGGACUGGAUUUAGGUAGAUAUCAAGGCUUUCUUGAGUGUUAUAAGAAGGACAGGC